UACACACGGAUAACAUACCGAAAGGUAUGCUAAUACGGGAUAAUAUAUUUGAGAGGCAUCUCUUAAAUAUCAAAGGUGAGCCAGUACAGGAUGGACCCGCGUCUGAUUAGCUAGUUGGUAAGGUAACGGCUUACCAAGGCGACGAUCAGUAGCCGACCUGAGAGGGUGAUCGGCCACAUUGGAACUGAGACACGGUCCAAACUCCUACGGGAGGCAGCAGUGGGGAAUAUUGCACAAUGGGCGAAAGCCUGAUGCAGCAACGCCGCGUGAGUGAUGAAGGCCUUCGGGUCGUAAAACUCUGUCCUCAAGGAAGAUAAUGACGGUACUUGAGGAGGAAGCCCCGGCUAACUACGUGCCAGCAGCCGCGGUAAUACGUAGGGGGCUAGCGUUAUCCGGAUUUACUGGGCGUAAAGGGUGCGUAGGCGGUCUUUCAAGUCAGGAGUGAAAGGCUACGGCUCAACCGUAGUAAGCUCUUGAAACUGGGAGACUUGAGUGCAGGAGAGGAGAGUGGAAUUCCUAGUGUAGCGGUGGAAUGCGUAGAUAUUAGGAGGAACACCAGUUGCGAAGGCGGCUCUCUGGACUGUAACUGACGCUGAGGCACGAAAGCGUGGGGAGCAAACAGGAUUAGAUACCCUGGUAGUCCACGCUGUAAACGAUGAGUACUAGGUGUCGGGGGUUACCCCCUUCGGUGCCGCAG
rnacentral:rRNA from 1 species